UGUCUCCUCCACCCUCCUCCUUUGGUGGAUUCGGCGCAACUCUCGCGAGUUGCGCUUUUUUUU
rfam:Betaproteobacteria bacterium RIFCSPLOWO2_12_FTLL_68_20 rifcsplowo2_12_scaffold_2112, whole genome shotgun sequence.